UACAGAGGGUGCGAGCGUUGUCCGGAAUCACUGGGCGUAAAGGGCGCGUAGGUGGCGCCGCAAGUCGGUGGUGAAAGCCCCGGGCUCAACCUGGGAGGUGCGCUCGAGACUCUGGUGCUGGAGUUCGGGAGAGGAGCGUGGAAUUCCCAGUGUAGAGGUGAAAUUCGUAGAUAUUGGGAAGAACACCGGUGGCGAAGGCGGCGCUCUGGACCGAGACUGACGCUGAGGCGCGAAGGCGUGGGGAGCAAACAGG
rnacentral:rRNA from 1 species